UAUAAUGUUAAUAUAUCCCCUCUGAGGUGCCGUUUUUCCAAACUAAAGAGAUUUAAAUGUUUAACCUAAAAUGCUCAAUUCCUUUUAUCAAUUUUGUAGCUCGUCUCUGCACUUUUUCUAGUGCCAUGAUAGCCUUCUUUAGAACAGGUGCCCAAAAAUGCACAGCAUAUUCAAAGUGUGGUCUUACCAGCGAUUAAUAAAGAGGCAAGAUUAUAUUUUCAUCCAGAGAAUGUAUGCCCAUAUUUAUACAUGACAAAACCUUACUGGCUUUAGCAACUGCAGAUUCACGUUGCAUAUUGCUGCCUAAUUUGUUGUCUAUAACAAUUCCCAAAUACUUAUCCUGUGUUAUUGCUAAUUCACUACCAUUUAGGGUGUAAGUUGCUUGUGCAUUCUUGACCCCGAAGAGCAUAACUUUGCAUUUCUCUACAUUAAAUUUGAUCUGCCAUUUUAGUGCCCAGUUCCCCAAUCUAUCUAAAUCCCUCUGCAGCAAAGCCAUAAUCCUGCUCACAUUUUAUUACUUUACAAAGUUUUGUGUCACCUGCAAACACUACAACAUCGCUUUCAAUGCCUAUUUCAAGAUCAUUUAUAAAUAUGUUAAAGAGAAGCGGUCCCAAAACAGAACCCCGAGGGACACCACUUACCACUUUUGUCAAGCUUGAAAAUUUACC